GAGUUUGAUCCUGGCUCAGGAUGAACGCUGGCGGCGUGCUUAACACAUGCAAGUCGAACGGUGAAGCAGAGCUUGCUCUGUGGAUCAGUGGCGAACGGGUGAGUAACACGUGAGCAAUCUGCCCCUGACUCUGGGAUAAGCGCUGGAAACGGCGUCUAAUACCGGAUACGAGCUGCGACCGCAUGGUCAGUAGCUGGAAAGAAUUUCGGUCAGGGAUGAGCUCGCGGCCUAUCAGCUUGUUGGUGAGGUAAUGGCUCACCAAGGCGUCGACGGGUAGCCGGCCUGAGAGGGUGACCGGCCACACUGGGACUGAGACACGGCCCAGACUCCUACGGGAGGCAGCAGUGGGGAAUAUUGCACAAUGGGCGAAAGCCUGAUGCAGCAACGCCGCGUGAGGGAUGACGGCCUUCGGGUUGUAAACCUCUUUUAGCAGGGAAGAAGCGAAAGUGACGGUACCUGCAGAAAAAGCGCCGGCUAACUACGUGCCAGCAGCCGCGGUAAUACGUAGGGCGCAAGCGUUAUCCGGAAUUAUUGGGCGUAAAGAGCUCGUAGGCGGUCUGUCGCGUCUGCUGUGAAAACCCGAGGCUCAACCUCGGGCCUGCAGUGGGUACGGGCAGACUAGAGUGCGGUAGGGGAGAUUGGAAUUCCUGGUGUAGCGGUGGAAUGCGCAGAUAUCAGGAGGAACACCGAUGGCGAAGGCAGAUCUCUGGGCCGUAACUGACGCUGAGGAGCGAAAGGGUGGGGAGCAAACAGGCUUAGAUACCCUGGUAGUCCACCCCGUAAACGUUGGGAACUAGUUGUGGGGUCCAUUCCACGGAUUCCGUGACGCAGCUAACGCAUUAAGUUCCCCGCCUGGGGAGUACGGCCGCAAGGCUAAAACUCAAAGGAAUUGACGGGGACCCGCACAAGCGGCGGAGCAUGCGGAUUAAUUCGAUGCAACGCGAAGAACCUUACCAAGGCUUGA
rnacentral:rRNA from 1 species